CAGCCGCCGCGGUAAUACGCAGGCAGCGAGCGUUGUUCGGAAUUACUGGGCGUAAAGAGUGUGUAGGCGGUUUCUUAAGUCUGAUGUGAAAGCCCCCGGCUCAACCGGGGAGGGUCAUUGGAAACUGGGAAACUUGAGUGCAGAAGAGGAGAGUGGAAUUCCACGUGUAGCGGUGAAAUGCGUAGAGAUGUGGAGGAACACCAGUGGCGAAGGCGACUCUCUGGUCUGUAACUGACGCUGAGGAGCGAAAGCGUGGGGAGCGGACAGGAUUAGAGACCCGAGUAGUCCCUGUCUCUUAUAC
rnacentral:rRNA from 1 species